rnacentral:lncRNA from 1 species
AGGCUGAGGAGUUGAUUUAUGAUGUUUAUUUGUCCCUCAAGAAGAAACUAACAGAUUUGAGCUGGAGGGACGACAGAUCAUCAGCCUUUAUUUUGAAUAAGGUAUGUUGUGAAUCAUAUACAAAACCAUAUCCUACUGAAACUGUGUAUGGAUUAUUGUUCAGAUAAUUUUGUAUAUUUUUCAGAUAAAAUCUCUUAAUCCAAGACUCUCCGCUAAAACAAAUAACCUCAAUCAUGCAGAACUCAACCAUCUCUAUGCAGAGGUGGUUUUGAGCGAGGAGGAUUUUUUCUCCAACUACCUGCAGAUGCUGGUGCUGGAGCAGAAGAGCAGGAGCAGACUGCUCUCACACGGCACACAGACUGAAGGUUUGUCUGUCACUCCAUCCAUCUCUGGUAUUGACAUCAUCAUCCCUGUUGGAAUGUUUGUGUCACCCUUCUUCCAUUCCUCAUAUCCCAGGGCACUGAAUUAUGGCACACUGGGAUCUCUGAUGGCUAAAGAUCUACUCCACCUUCUGCUCCCUGAUAUCCACAUGCAGGCCAACAAUCCAGAGUCAGACAGCAUGUGCAUAUGGUCCCAUUAUCUGAGUGUGACCAGGGAUCCAGGACGGGUCGGCACAUUCUCUCUUCCCCCCUCUAAACAGCAGGAGGUUUGGGUGCAGUACUCUGCUCUACAAGUGGCACUGGAUGCUUAUAAAAUGAGUUUCACAAGGCAUCCAGCAGACUCAUCUCUAUCAGGCCUCUCUUACCUUCACCUGUUACUCUCCUCCUUUACAAAGGUACAGAGAAUGUCAAUGAGAAAUGUAUAAGCACUCAAGGAUGUGUGCUAAUCAAAAUGUUCAAAUCAUAUGUUACAGGUAACGUGUGACGCUGACUCCUACCAUGAGUUCAUGCCCUUUGAACCUUCCUUCCUGGUGACAGUCCUGUGUUCAAACUCCGGCUUCUGCCCCAAAACGCUGACCUGUGUGAAUAAAUCUCAGAGUUAUCCUCGUGAGAUGUGUCAGAGUCGAACGCUGCACUGAAUCUGGGAGGAACUCAUGUCUGCUGAGACCUUUUGGAGCUUGUUUGGGACUAUUGAACCAUUGGAGCUGCUCACUGUUUAGUAAAAGAAGGUCAUUCCAGAGAUCAUAAAGCUUUUUAUAUUCACUUGUUAAGUAAUGGGUUUAGAAAAGUCACAUAUACAUACAUUUAAGCAAUAUUAUCACAUUUGAUAAAUCAUGUACAGAAUGAUGAACAGUUAAAGCCUGCUUGGUGGAUGUGUUCUCUCACAGCACUUAGAAAAUUGACCAUGCUUUUACUAUAGUAUUGAAUUUUGGGGGAAAUGUUGAUUCAUACAAAAUAAUAUUUUUGGGAAGGGAGGGAAUCUCAUACAUUUUUUUUUUAACUACAACUAGCAUAGUUUGUUUACAGAGUUACACUGGUUUACAUGUGGUUACUGUAAAUACCACAGUUAAACUGGUUACUAUACAAGAUUUAUGGUAAAUUUGUACCAAGGAAGGAGAGCAUUUCACCAAGUAAAAGUGAUUCCAGUUGUAAUUCAUUAAUGAUGGAUAAUUGUGCUCUUUAUUCUCUCUAUUGUAAAUACAGUUUGAUGUCUAAAGUCUGAAUGUAUCAUGAAUGCCACUCUUAUUUUUGAAAUGUAUUAUAUUUGGAUGAAACAUUAAAAAAAAAGUAUUUUUUGCAUGUGUGCUUUUUGGUCUGUAGUCAAGGAAUUUCAUACAUAUAACAU